GCAGGUGGAGGCUGCAGUUUGCUGGCAGAGGCUGUAGGUGGUGGUUUGGUCUGCAGCUGUCUGCCAGAAUCUGCAGGUGGAGGCAGGGCCUGCAGGAUACUGGCAGAGGCUGUAGGUGGUUGUUUGGUCAGCAGCUGUCUGCCAGAAUCUGGAGGUGGAGGCUGGGCCUGCAGGUUACUGGCAGAGGCUGUAGGUGGUGGUUUGGUCUGCAGCUGUCUGCCAGAAUCUGCAGGUGGAGGCUGCAUGUUACUGCCGGAGGCUGUAGGUGGUGGUUUGGUCUGCAGCUGUCUACCAGAAUCUGCAGGUGAAGGCUGCAGGUUACUGGCAGAGGCUGUAGGUGGAUGUUUGGUCUGCGGCUGUCUGCCAGAAUCUGCAGGUGGAGGCGCCUGCAGGUUACUGGCAGAGGCUGUAGGUGGUGGUUUGGUCUGCAGCUAUCCACCAGAAUCUGGAGGUGGAGGCAGGGCCUGCAGGAUACUGGCAGAGGCUGUAGGUGGCUGUUUGGUCAGCAGCUGUCUGCCAGAAUCUGGAGGUGGAGGCUGGGCCUGCAGGUUACUGGCGGAGGCUGUAGGUGGUGGUUUGGUCUGCAGCUGUCUGCCAGAAUCUGUCGGUGGAGGCUACAGGUUACUGGCGUAGGCUGUAGGUGGUGGUUUGGUCUGCAGCUGUCUGCCAGAAUAUGCAGGUGGAGGCUGCAGGUUGCUGGCAGAGGCUGUAGGUGGUGGUUUGGUCAGCAGCUGUCUGCCAGAAUCUGGUGGUGGAGGCUGCAGGUUACCGGCAGAGGCUGUAGGUGGUGGUUUGGUCUGCAGCUGUCUGCCAGAAUCUGCAGGUGGAGGCUGCAGGUUACUGGCAGAGGCUGUAGGUGGUGGUUUGGUCUGCAGCUGUCUGC